AUUGAACGCUGGCGGCAUGCCUUACACAUGCAAGUCGAGCGGCAGCACGGGAGCAAUCCUGGUGGCGAGUGGCGAACGGGUGAGUAAUAUAUCGGAACGUGCCCAGUCGUGGGGGAUAACGCAGCGAAAGCUGUGCUAAUACCGCAUACGAUCUAUGGAUGAAAGCGGGGGAUCGCAAGACCUCCCGCGAUUGGAGCGGCCGAUACCAAAUUAGCUAGUUGGUGGGGUAAAGGCCCACCAAGGCGACGAUCUGUAGCUGGUCUGAGAGGACGACCAGCCACACUGGAACUGAGACACGGUCCAGACUCCUACGGGAGGCAGCAGUGGGGAAUUUUGGACAAUGGGCGCAAGCCUGAUCCAGCAAUGCCGCGUGCAGGAUGAAGGCCUUCGGGUUGUAAACUGCUUUUGUACGGAACGAAACGGUCCUUUCUAAUACAGGGGGCUAAUGACGGUACCGUAAGAAUAAGCACCGGCUAACUACGUGCCAGCAGCCGCGGUAA
rnacentral:rRNA from 1 species